rnacentral:misc_RNA from 1 species
GGACCCCUUGCUAUUUGGUCUAAUGAAGAAUGGGGUGAGACUUUGUUUGUACGGGUGGUGACUAAUAUUUGUGGGCGUUAGAUGCUUAUCAGCCAUUUGUAGGGUCAGAUUCGGAGUCAUUCUUGCCUUUAACCUAGGUCAUAGGUCUGUAUGUGGGCUAUUUGGUCUUUGCAAGUUUUUCUUUUAAUAAUUAGGUAGGCCAAGGAAA